UCCCAGACUCCUACGGGAGGCAGCAGUGGGGAAUAUUGCACAAUGGGGGAAACCCUGAUGCAGCGACGCCGCGUGAAGGAUGAAGUAUUUCGGUAUGUAAACUUCUAUCAGCAGGGAAGAAAAUGACGGUACCUGACUAAGAAGCCCCGGCUAACUACGUGCCAGCAGCCGCGGUAAUACGUAGGGGGCAAGCGUUAUCCGGAUUUACUGGGUGUAAAGGGAGCGUAGACGGUAUGGCAAGUCUGAUGUGAAAACCCGGGGCUCAACCCCGGGACUGCAUUGGAAACUGCCGAACUAGAGUGUCGGAGAGGCAAGUGGAAUUCCUAGUGUAGCGGUGAAAUGCGUAGAUAUUAGGAGGAACACCGGCGGCGAAGGCGGCCUGCUGGACCGCGACUGACGUUGAGGCUCGAAAGCGUGGGGAGCGAACAGGAUUAGAUACCCGAGUA
rnacentral:rRNA from 1 species